UCCCAAAAGUAAUCAAAAUUGGCCCAGAAAGGCUAAAAAACCUUGAAAAUAAAAAAUCAGUCUGUUAUAAUUGUGCACGAUUCACAAACUGACUUAACACCUUUUCAAGAUGAACUUGGUAAAAACAAAAAAAAUAUUCUCCCCUUAAAUUGCCUCUUAAUAGUAAUUAGUAUUGGACCAUGUCAACAUGGAACAUUUUGCAAUGAGCACUAAUCAAUCAAUGAUUUAUUUCAGUUAGGAAUAUCUAAAUGAUUAAUUUAGAUAUGUUAAAUUAAUCGUUUACUAUUUCUGACGAAUAAAUUUUAUUGAUUGAUUGUGAUAACAAUUAUCAGUCGACACAGCUAGCCUACACCCCCAAAACAAGUUUCCAAAACAAAUGUUUGUAUAGAAGGCAGGCAAAGCGUUGAAGAAGACAUUAAAAAAAAGUAUACUAGAACAUAAAUAGGCCUAGAACUUAACAUAAUAUAACCAACGUUUCCCUUCGCAACCAAUAACCAACGUUUCCCUUCGCAACCAAUAACCAACGUUUCCCUUCACAGCCAAUAACCAAAGUUUCCCUUCACAGCCAAUAACCAAAGUUUCCCUUCGCAGCCAAUAACCAAAGUUUCUCUUCACAGCCAAUAACCAAAGUUUCCCUCCGCAACCAAUAACCAACGUUUCCCUUCGCAACCAAUAACCAAAGUUUCUCUUCACAGCAGUAACCAAAGUUUCCCUUCCCAACCAAAAACCAAAGUUUCCCUUCACAGUCAAUAACCAAAGUUUCCCUUCACAGCCAAUAACCAAAGUUUCCCUUCACAGCCAUGCAAUAACCAAAGUUUCCCUUUACAGUCAAUAACCAAAGUUUCCCUUUACAGUCAAUAACCAAAGUUUCCCUUCACAGUCAAUAACCAAAGUUUCCCUUCACAGCCAUAACCAAAUUUUUCUUCCAACUAAUCACCAUAAAUUUCCUUUAUAACACCAUAAAUUGUUUGUUUUCUUGCAGAUCGCACAGAUGGAAAUUUGAACUUUACACCUGGCAUGAAUGUUGAGAUACCAGAGGUGAUGAGCUACUCUUUAUUUAUUGAUGCAGUCCUGCAGUUUGAACAUCAUGCAUGGCGAGAAUUGGGGUAAUGUAUCAAUUUAUGUUACAAGGUAAAGUUUUGCAAAAAAUAGUCAAUGGCCUGACGUUUCAAUCCUAGCAGAGUCUUUCUCAAAAGCUAAAGUCUUUCGCCUGAAAGAAAUGUUUAGCCUUCGAGAAAGACUCGGAUUGAUAAGUCGGGCCAUUAACUAUUUGUGUUUGCAUUACCAUCGAUCCCUUUGGUUGGUAAGUUGUUUGUAACAGCUAAUUCUAUUUUCUCAAGAUAAAGUUUGACUGGAAUUAAACUACCAAAAGAGAGUUUUUACAAUUUUUCACAAAUCUCUCGCCCCAAGCUGCCUGGAUGUAUUAUUGGUACUCAUAAUGGGGAGGCGCCAGUCAUUUUAACAUAUAAAUCUCCCACACAGAUAACUUCAACCACCAAUUGAGUUUAAAUUUUCACAGGUUUGUUUAUUAUGAUUAUGUUGAGAUACACCAAGUGAGAAGACUGGUCUUUGACAAUUAACAAUAAUGUCCAGUGUCUUUGAGAGUUUGAGAGGAAAAUGAACCAAAACAGUUUCCUGAACUUUCGGUCAGCCCAAUGAUGUUUUAUUGGUACAAACGAUUGGAGGUAAUCAUCAUUGAAAAAGAAAUAUUCAAAAAGGGAAAUCUUGUUAUUGGACUGAAAUUCUUCACUGGGGCAACUAAUUAAGCUAAUUUCACUCCAUUUGAGAUGCUUGCUAGAAAAGUUUGUAGGGAAUUUAAUUAGUUCUGAAACGCUUCUCAAAACCUGAAGAAAAAAAAUUAUUCUGCAAAAAUUGUUAAACCAUUUUUACCUUGUUUCUUUGCCCUGCAGUUUUCUGGUGCAUGAUGGUGAUCUAAGUGAACCUGACGGUGAAUUACAUUGAUGUUCGUGGUCUUGACAAACACCUACAGGGAAGGAGCCUUAUAGGCACUGGACACUAUUGAUUGGACGAGAGUCUUGGAAGAUGACAUCAGCCUGAGACGGCAACAGAGAGGCAGGGAAGAAGACUCCGGCUGGACUGAGGAUCAAGGGGACAAGAGCUGAAGACUGACUGGAGCAAGUCUAAUCAAGAUGUCGAUCAACCAUCAUCUGGAUCAUGAGGGCGCUCUUUAUCCGGAAAUGGCAACCAGGGCCCAAUUUUAUAAAACCAGUGAGCAGAAAAAGUUGCUAAGCACAGAAUGUAUUACUCGGCAGAAACAGGUUACCAGCCAAUAACUUGCAUUUACUGUGGCUGGUGCCCCUCUCAAUUUUUGCUAAGCAUAGAAAUUUGUCGCCAAGUAGUAUUUUCUGCUAACAGCUUUAUGAAAUUGG